rnacentral:rRNA from 1 species
AAUAGAUACCCCGGUAGUCCACCCCGUAAACGUUGGGAACUAGUUGUGGGGACCAUUCCACGGUUUCCGUGACGCAGCUAACGCAUUAAGUUCCCCGCCUGGGGAGUACGGCCGCAAGGCUAAAACUCAAAGGAAUUGACGGGGACCCGCACAAGCGGCGGAGCAUGCGGAUUAAUUCGAUGCAACGCGAAGAACCUUACCAAGGCUUGACAUAUACGAGAACGGGCCAGAAAUGGUCAACUCUUUGGACACUCGUAAACAGGUGGUGCAUGGUUGUCGUCAGCUCGUGUCGUGAGAUGUUGGGUUAAGUCCCGCAACGAGCGCAACCCUCGUUCUAUGUUGCCAGCACGUAAUGGUGGGAACUCAUGGGAUACUGCCGGGGUCAACUCGGAGGAAGGUGGGAUGACGUCAAAUCAUCAUGCCCCUUAUGUCUUGGGCUUCACGCAUGCUACAAUGGCCGGUACAAAGGGCUGCAAUACCGUAAGGUGGAGCGAAUCCCAAAAGCCGGUCCCAGUUCGGAUUGAGGUCUGCAACUCGACCUCA